UCUAUCCUGGCUAGAAGCUGGGAAAUGGGAUUUGGACAGAGAUAGAUGAGUUUGACUAUAUCCUCUGGCUAAGAAAGUGGAGAAAGUUCUUACUGGUGCCUGGCUCCUCUUCCUCCCUCCGAAUGAUCCUGAACCACCUCUGUUCAUUUUGAGGGGACUCUCAGGGGCCCUGCAGGAUGCGUCUUCCCUCUGGAACACAACUCCACACAGCUAUGGAGACCAGGCAGCACAGCAGUUGGCCGGUCAACCCUGACUCCUUUUCCAUAAGAGCCUUGGGCUGCAUCUUCAUCUCCUGGAUACAUCUGCCUUGUAAACAGCCAGUCUGCCAUGAAAGAGUUCCCCCACUGAAAGCAAUUUUGUUAUUGGGGUGGGGGGUCCACCCCCUUCCUCCCCCAACUCCCUGACAUGAGUCCGUGUCAUUAACCACUCACUUCAGCAGUUUUAUUAUGGAAAUGACAUAUUGAAAUACAAAUUGGGACAUGUACAGUA